rnacentral:rRNA from 1 species
UACAGAGGUCCCGAGCGUUGUUCGGAUUCACUGGGCGUAAAGGGUGCGUAGGUGGCCUAAAAAGUUUGAUGUGAAAGCUCAGGGCUUAACCCUGAAAUGGCAUUGAAUACUGUUGGGCUGGAGGUUUGGAGGGGGGACUGGAAUUCUUGGUGUAGCAGUGAAAUGCGUAGAUAUCAAGAGGAACACCAGUGGCGAAGGCGAGUCCCUGGACAACACCUGACACUGAGGCACGAAAGCCAGGGGAGCAAACGGG